UGUUUGGUCCAAUUUAAUUCC
rnacentral:piRNA from 1 species